UACGUAGGGUGCGAGCGUUGCCCGGAUUUAUUGGGCGUAAAGGGCGCGCAGGCGGUCACGCACGUCCGUUGUGAAAUCGCUCGGCUCAACUGGGCGGGGUCAGCGGAUACGGCGUGACUGGAGCAAGCUAGGGGGCAAUGGAAUUCCCGGUGUAGUGGUGGAAUGCGUAGAUAUCGGGAGGAACACCAGUGGCGAAGGCGGUUGCCUGGAGCUUUGCUGACGCUGAUGCGCGAAAGCGUGGGGAGCGAUCCGG
rnacentral:rRNA from 1 species